rnacentral:rRNA from 1 species
CGCCACAGCCAUAUCACCCUGCAGCCCAAGACCGGUUACUCACUGAAGCUAAGCAGGGCUAAGCCUGGUCAGUACCUGGAUGGGAGACCACUAGGGAACACUAGGUUGCUGUUGGAA